rnacentral:tRNA from 1 species
GGGCGCUUAGCUCAGUUGGCUAGAGCGCUACCCUUACAAGGUAGAUGUCACAGGUUCGAGUCCUGUAGCGCCCA